GUCCAUGUCUGAAGAAGGGCACAGCGAGUCAGACUCAGGGAAGGAAGGUCCAUGUCUGAAGAAGGGCACAGCUAGUCAGACUCAGGGAAGGAAAGUCCAUGUCUGAAGAAGGGCACAGCUAGUCAGACUCAGGGAAGGAAGGUCCAUGUCUGAAGAAGGGCACAGCUAGUCAGACUCAGGGAAGGAAAGUCCAUGUCUGAAGAAGGGCACAGCUAGUCAGACUCAGGGAAGGAAGGUCCAUGUCUGAAGAAGGGCACAGCUAGUCAGACUCAGGGAAGGAAGGUCCAUGUCUGAAGGAGGGCACAGCUAGUCAGACUCAGGGAAGGAAGGUCCAUGUCUGAAGAAGGGCACAGCUAGUCAGACUCAGGGAAGGAAGGUCCAUGUCUGAAGGAGGGCACAGCUAGUCAGACUCAGGGAAGGAAGGUCCAUGUCUGAAGAAGGGCACAGCUAGUCAGACUCAGGGAAGGAAGGUCCAUGUCUGAAGGAGGGCACAGCUAGUCAGACUCAGGGAAGGAAGGUCCAUGUCUGAAGAAGGGCACAGCUAGUCAGACUCAGGGAAGGAAGGUCCAUGUCUGAAGAAGGGCACAGCUAGUCAGACUCAGGGAAGGAAGGUCCAUGUCUGAAGGAGGGCACAGCUAGUCAGACUCAGGGAAGGAAGGUCCAUGUCUGAAGAAGGGCACAGCUAGUCAGACUCAGGGAAGGAAGGUCCAUGUCUGAAGGAGGGCACAGCUAGUCAGACUCAGGGAAGGAAGGUCCAUGUCUGAAGGAGGGCACAGCUAGUCAGACUCAGGGAAGGAAGGUCCAUGUCUGAAGGAGGGCACAGCUAGUCAGACUCAGGGAAGGAAGGUCCAUGUCUGAAGAAGGGCACAGCUAGUCAGACUCAGGGAAGGAAGGUCCAUGUCUGAAGAAGGGCACAGCUAGUCAGACUCAGGGAAGGAAGGUCCAUUUAUAACAGAGGGCACAGCUAGUCAGACUCAGGGAAGGAAGGUCCAUGUAUAACAGAGGGCACAGCUAGUCAGACUCAGGGAAGGAAGGUCCAUUUAUAACAGAGGGCACAGCUAGUCAGACUCAGGGAAGGAAGGUCCAUGUAUAACAGAGGGCACAGCUAGUCAGACUCAGGGAAGGAAGGUCCAUUUAUAACAGAGGGCACAGCUAGUCA